CAGUUGUCAAUUACUAUUAUUAUUAUUAUUAUCGAUAUAAUUCUAAACGGGUCAAUUUUAAAUAAAAUUUUAAUUUGAAAUUUUAGGGUCAAAAACUUUUUUUUUUUUUUUUAAAUCCAAUUUAAAACCCCUUCCCAAAUUUAAAUUUGGGAAGGGGUUUAAUACUCCUUUCAAAAAUUACACUUUGACCCCAGUUUUAAAAUUAAUCACAGGCCCUUUAAUUUUUAAAAUUGCGUGGAGGUCCUUAUUUUGAAAAUUACAACAUAACCCCAAUUUCUAAUUGGGGAUAGGGGCUUAAAACUAGACCAUUUGCAACAGGAGCCCCCAUCACCAAAACACCCCUGUGUCCACUGAAAACCCUAGGACCAUGGAAGAAUUUUGGGGCGGCGACGGUGGUAUCCGGCCACACUCCUUCCUUCUCACCGCCAGUCGCCUUAACCGGUCGAACAAAACUCACCACACCAUGACUAGUUUCAACCAAUACCUUCAACCCAUUUACUAAUAUUUUUCCUUCCUCCUUCAACGACAUCAAUUCUCACUUUCUCAACAAGAAAAAUAUGUAAACAUAGAACAAUUAGCAACUAAACAUAUUAUACAACACACAAAAUCAAUUCACAAAAUUUUAUGAAAUUAACAAGCAGUUGGAGAAAUGGCGAUUUGGGGCCCGAAUAAGAUCCGAAACUUCCUGUGCCAGCGGUAACUGGAAAAGUCCAGAAAACUGCCACUUAUGUAGGAACUUUUCAGCUUUGAUUACGAAUAAGCAUGAAGAUGGGGCAGAGGGUAUAGAGAAUUUCUCUCAAUCAUGAAUCCAUUCUGAGAGUCCACUGGAAUGCUUUUCUCCAGUAAAGAGUAAUAAAAGAAAUAAGAUGUACAUUGGGAUGGUGAUUAGAAAGAAACAGUGGACGAAAUUCUAUCUUUUAGGAUUCUGCUUCCCCCUUUGCCUUUUAUUUUAU
rnacentral:lncRNA from 1 species